AUUCUAAUAGUUUAAAAACAUUAAAUUGCAAAUUUAAAAUUAUAAAA
rnacentral:tRNA from 1 species